UGACCCCAUGCCGAACUCAGAAGUGAAACGCCGUAGCGCCGAUGGUAGUGUGGGGUCUCCCCAUGUGAGAGUAGGGAACUGCCAGGCAU
rnacentral:rRNA from 1 species